GAGACCCUUAGGAAACUAGGGGUGCUCCAUCUGGAAGAAUCUGGAGACAGGUGCUGCAUGGCUGUCGUCAGCUCGUGUCGUGAGAUGUUGGGUUAAGUCCCGCAACGAGCGCAACCCUUGCCUUUAGUUGCCAGCAGUUCGGCUGGGCACUCUAAAGGGACUGCCGGUGUUAAACCGGAGGAAGGUGGGGAUGACGUCAAGUCCUCAUGGCCUUUAUGACCAGGGCUACACACGUACUACAAUGGCCGAUACAAAGGGCAGCGACACUGCGAGGUGAAGCCAAUCCCGUAAAAUCGGUCUCAGUCCGGAUUGGAGUCUGCAACUCGACUCCAUGAAGUUGGAAUCGCUAGUAAUCGUGGAUCAGCAUGCCACGGUGAAUACGUUCCCGGGCCUU
rnacentral:rRNA from 1 species